GCCAGCGGUGCUCGAACUACAUAUAAAUGCGGACAAUAAUUGCGUACCCAAUAUAAUAUCGUGUGUUGGAUUUGUAUCAACUGGCAUAUUAUAAGCUGGACAAGAAAAUGUGAAGCACACCCGGAAUUAACGUGAAUAACGAAGAGAUCCAACAGAUGACAAUUAAAAUUUUUGAAACAAUUUUUUCGAUUCUUGACUUAUAAAGUGAGGCUGGCCAUGCACCUAUUGGUUUCAAUAUCCAUCGAUUGAAUUGUAUGCUGUAUUCGGAAAGAUUACCGAAUUUCUUUUCGAUUUUUAUAAGAUCAUCUGCCAUCGUGCAGUCACAACAAAAUCGCGCAUGCAACUGAAUCGAGGAUUCGGUGCGCUGUAUUUAUCCAACGCUUGCGCAUACUUUGUCAAAGGAUAUGCGCCGAUCGAUUUGAUACAGUUAAUGAAACUUAUUGAUAGUAAUGAAAUUUGCAGAUAAUCUGUGUAAUACAUCAACGUGUGACCAACCAAAUUAUUUUCAACAAAAAAAUACACAAAAUUAAUUAUAGAUUUUGAAAACGAAAAUCUUAACAAAUAUAUAAUUAAAUUUGGAAAAUAGCAUACCG